rnacentral:rRNA from 1 species
GAUGAACGCUGGCGGCGUGCCUAAUACAUGCAAGUCGAGCGAACGGACGAGAAGCUUGCUUCUCUGAUGUUAGCGGCGGACGGGUGAGUAACACGUGGAUAACCUACCUAUAAGACUGGGAUAACUUCGGGAAACCGGAGCUAAUACCGGAUAAUAUUUUGAACCGCAUGGUUCAAAAGUGAAAGACGGUCUUGCUGUCACUUAUAGAUGGAUCCGCGCUGCAUUAGCUAGUUGGUAAGGUAACGGCUUACCAAGGCAACGAUGCAUAGCCGACCUGAGAGGGUGAUAGGCCACACUGGAGCUGAGACACGGUCCAGACUCCUACGGGAGGCAGCAGUAGGGAAUCUUCCGCAAUGGGCGAAAGCCUGACGGAGCAACGCCGCGUGAGUGAUGAAGGUCUUCGGAUCGUAAAACUCUGUUAUUAGGGAAGAACAUAUGUGUAAGUAACUGUGCACAUCUUGACGGUACCUAAUCAGAAAGCCCCGGCUAACUACGUG